CCCUUAGAUGUUCUGGGCCGCACACGCGCUACACUGAAGGAGGCAGCGUGUACUCCUGGAUCGAAAGAUUUGGGUAACCCGCGAAUCUCCUUCGUGCUAGGGAUUGAGGUUUGCAAUUAUCCUUCAUGAACGAGGAAUUCCCAGUAAGUGCAAGUCAUAAGCUUGCGCUGACUACGUCCCUGCCCUUUGUACACACCGCCCGUCGCUACUACCGAUUGAAUGAUUUAGUGAGGACUUCGGACUGGGACCGAUGCGGCUUUCGGGCUGCGUCGGUAUUCUGGAAAGAUGUCCAAACUGUAUCAUUUAGAGGAAGUCAAAGUCGUAACA
rnacentral:rRNA from 1 species